AUUGAACGCUGGCGGCAUGCUUUACACAUGCAAGUCGAACGGCAGCGCGGGCUUCGGCCUGGCGGCGAGUGGCGAACGGGUGAGUAAUACAUCGGAACGUGCCCAGUAGUGGGGGAUAGCUCGGCGAAAGCCGGAUUAAUACCGCAUACGACCUGAGGGUGAAAGCGGGGGAUCUUCGGACCUCGCGCUAUUGGCGCGGCCGAUGGCAGAUUAGCUAGUUGGUGGGGUAAAGGCCUACCAAGGCGACGAUCUGUAGCUGGUCUGAGAGGACGACCAGCCACACUGGGACUGAGACACGGCCCAGACUCCUACGGGAGGCAGCAGUAGGGAAUUUUGGACAAUGGGCGAAAGCCUGAUCCAGCAAUGCCGCGUGUGUGAUGAAGGCCUUCGGGUUGUAAAGCACUUUUGGCGGGAACGAAAAGGACUGUGCCAAUACCACGGUUCGAUGACGGUACCCGCAGAAUAAGCACCGGCUAACUACGUG
rnacentral:rRNA from 1 species